rnacentral:rRNA from 1 species
GAUGAACGCUGGCGGCGUGCCUAAUACAUGCAAGUAGAACGCUGAAGGAGGAGCUUGCUCUUCUGGAUGAGUUGCGAACGGGUGAGUAACGCGUAGGUAACCUGCCUGGUAGCGGGGGAUAACUAUUGGAAACGAUAGCUAAUACCGCAUGACAACAGUUAUUGCAUGAUAACUGUUUAAAAGGGGCAACUGCUCCACUACCAGAUGGACCUGCGUUGUAUUAGCUAGUUGGUGAGGUAACGGCUCACCAAGGCGACGAUACAUAGCCGACCUGAGAGGGUGAUCGGCCACACUGGGACUGAGACACGGCCCAGACUCCUACGGGAGGCAGCAGUAGGGAAUCUUCGGCAAUGGACGGAAGUCUGACCGUGCAACGCCGCGUGAGUGAAGAAGGUUUUCGGAUCGUAAAGCUCUGUUGUAAGAGAAGAACGAGUGUGAGAGUGGAAAGUUCACACUGUGACGGUAUCUUACCAGAAAGGGACGGCUAACUACGUG